rnacentral:lncRNA from 1 species
CCCUUGUAGGUAGAGAAAGUUAGAGAUGAGCGAGAGACUACUGAUACAAAUGAAUUCCCACUGGCGGCUGCUGCUGCUGCUUCAUAUUAAUAUGACAAAUGGUGAUCGGCACCAACCCCUCUGAAGAAUCGAAUUUCACGCGCCUAAGCAGUACGUGGUUUUACGUGACGGAAUACCAGCUAAACGCCUUGGACUAUUACUAGUACUAGUAUUAAUAUUGGAGUGAUGAACAGUAAGCGCGUGUGUAAUUUUAGCAGUUAAUGAAUCUAUCGCUUCAAGUAACGCACAGGAUUGGGUCUGACUUUUUUCUUGUGAUAAAUGCCAAAUGCGUGGACUACGACACAUAAUGGACUGGAUUUAAUUUUUGGAUUUCAGGCUUUUGUUAUAUUGGGUAAGGCCGGCCAAUGGUUUCUCCUUACUUUGGAUCAGUCUAUUGUCAAUUCUAAAACCCAGUUUUCUCACCGUUCGUCUACGAGGU